AAAAAUACUUCAUUAAAGAAUUGAUGCUGCUGUCUGCACAGUUGAGAACGCAAUUGGAAACUUUCGUGCAUUCACUUUGUUCGCCGCAAAUUGGAUAUGUGAACGUGGUCAUCAUUAUUUAUAGAAUUAUUCU
rnacentral:sRNA from 1 species